UACAGAGGAGCCAAGCGUUGUCCGGAUUGACUGGGCGUAAAGCGCACGCAGGCGGAUGCGCGCGUGGGGUGUGAAAUCUGGCCGCUUAACGGCCAGGCGCCAUCCCAUACGGCACGUCUGGAGGGCUGCAGAGGUCGAUGGAAUUGCCGGUGUAGUGGUGAAAUGCGUAGAGAUCGGCAGGAACACCCAGGGGGAAACCAGUCGACUGGGCAGCACCUGACGCUGAGGUGCGAGAGCGUGGGGAGCGAACCGG
rnacentral:rRNA from 1 species